rnacentral:rRNA from 1 species
AGAGUUUGAUCAUGGCUCAGAAUCAACGCUGGCGGCGUGCCUAACACAUGCAAGUCGCACGAGAAAGGGUAGCAAUACCUGAGUAAAGUGGCGCACGGGUGAGUAACACGUGAAUGAUCUACCUCCGAGUGGGGAAUAACUGAGAGAAAUCUUAGCUAAUACCGCAUAACACUUACGAGUCAAAGCAGCAAUGCGCUUGGAGAGGAGUUCGCGGCCGAUUAGUUAGUUGGCGGGGUAAUGGCCCACCAAGACGAUGAUCGGUAUCCGGCCUGAGAGGGCGCACGGACACACUGGAACUGAAACACGGUCCAGACUCCUACGGGAGGCAGCAGUGGGGAAUUUUGCGCAAUGGGGGAAACCCUGACGCAGCAACGCCGCGUGGAGGAUGAAAUAUCUUGGUAUGUAAACUCCUUUCGAUGGGGAAGAUUAUGACGGUACCCAUAGAAGAAGCCCCGGCUAACUUCGUGCCAGCAGCCGCGGUAAUACGAGGGGGGCAAGCGUUGUUCGGAUUUAUUGGGCGUAAAGGGUGCGUAGGCGGUUUGGCAAGUCUGAUGUGAAAUCUAUGGGCUCAACCCAUAGUCUGCAUCAGAAACUGCCGGGCUUGAGUAUGGGAGAGGUGAGUGGAAUUUCCGGUGUAGCGGUGGAAUGCGUAGAUAUCGGAAGGAACACCUGUGGCGAAAGCGGCUCACUGGACCAUAACUGACGCUGAUGCACGAAAGCUAGGGGAGCAAACAGGAUUAGAUACCCCAGUAGUCC